GAUGAACGCUAGCGGCAGGCCUAACACAUGCAAGUCGAGGGGUAGCAGGAUUAAGCUUGCUUAAUUGCUGACGACCGGCGCACGGGUGCGUAACGCGUAUGCAACCUACCUUAUACUGGGGUAUAGCCCGGAGAAAUUCGGAUUAAUCCCCCAUAGUACUAAUGAAUCGCAUGGUUUAUUAGUUAAAGCAUUGCGGUAUAAGAUGGGCAUGCGUCCUAUUAGCUAGAUGGUGAGGUAACGGCUCACCGUGGCUACGAUAGGUAGGGGGCCUGAGAGGGUGGUCCCCCACACUGGAACUGAGACACGGACCAGACUCCUACGGGAGGCAGCAGUGAGGAAUAUUGGUCAAUGGGCGCAAGCCUGAACCAGCCAUGCCGCGUGCAGGAAGAAUGCCCUAUGGGUUGUAAACUGCUUUUAUUUGGGAAGAAACCCACUGUUUCUACGGUGGUUGACGGUACCAAAUGAAUAAGCACCGGCUAACUCCGUGCCAGCCGCCGCGGUAA
rnacentral:rRNA from 1 species